CCUACGGGUGGCAGCAGUGAGGAAUAUUGGUCAAUGGGCUUACGCCUGAACCAGCCAAGUCGCGUGAGGGAAGACUGCCCUAUGGGUUGUAAACCUCUUUUGUCAGGGAGCAAUUGGCGCUACGUGUAGCGUUAUCGAGAGUACCUGAAGAAAAAGCAUCGGCUAACUCCGUGCCAGCAGCCGCGGUAAUACGGAGGAUGCGAGCGUUAUCCGGAUUUAUUGGGUGGAAAGGGCGUGUAGGCGGGAAUGUAAGUCAGAUGUGAAAACUAUGGGCUCAACCCAUAGCCUGCAUUUGAAACUGUAUUUCUUGAGUGCUGGAGAGGCAAUCGGAAUUCCGUGUGUAGCGGUGAAAUGCGUAGAUAUACGGAGGAACACCAGUGGCGAAGGCGGAUUGCUGGACAGUAACUGACGCUGAGGCGCGAAAGCGUGGGGAGCAAACAGGAUUAGAUACCCGGGUAGUC
rnacentral:rRNA from 1 species